rnacentral:rRNA from 1 species
UUAAAGAGUUCUAUAACUCCCAAACCCAUGUGAACAUACCUAACGUUGCCUCGGCAGGUCGCACCUACCUUGUAGCACCCUACCCUGUAGGGCCUACCCGGGAGGUGCGGGUAAGCCUGCCGGCGGCCCACCAAACUCUGUUUGAUAUUGAAUUCUGAACCUAUAACUAAAUAAGUUAAAACUUUCAACAACGGAUCUCUUGGUUCUGGCAUCGAUGAAGAACGCAGCGAAAUGCGAUAAGUAAUGUGAAUUGCAGAAUUCAGUGAAUCAUCGAAUCUUUGAACGCAUAUUGCGCCCAUUAGUAUUCUAGUGGGCAGGACCGUUCGAGCGUCAUUUCAACCCUUAAGCCUUCGUUGCUUAGUGUUGGGAGCCUACGGCAACGUAGCUCCUCAAAGUUAGUGGCGGAGUUGGUUCACACUCUAGACGUAGUAAUUUUUUAUCUCGCCUAUUAGUUGGACUAAUCCCCUGCCGUAAAACCCCCAAUUUAUCAAGGUUGACCUCGAAUCGGUUCAGACAAACUCGCUAAAUUGAAGCAUCUUAGUCAGCGAAGGAAAAGAAACCAACAGGGAUUGCCCUAGUAACGGCGAGUGAAGCGGCAACAGCUCAAAUUUGAAAUCUGGCCCUCGG